UCUGUCCCAGUGCCACACUUCGAGGUUGCGAACCACGAAGUCAGGUCCAGAAGCAGCUAGACAUGGACUUCCAAAUGAGCCUGAAG
rnacentral:SRP_RNA from 9 species